rnacentral:lncRNA from 1 species
GAGAAUUUCACUCAUAUGCUCAAUGUUUUCAACCUAGACCUAUCCCAACUUCAAUUUUGAACAUGAGUAACCACACCUACUCAUAUAACAUUCAACACAUCAAUUACGACACAUAUUUGACAUAUUAACAUUAAUUUAUCACAAAAUCAUCAAUUUAUUCCAAAUCUAAGAACAUGUUCAUCAAACAAAAACCCCAUGAACAUAAUUCUCUUUUACAUAAUUCUCUUUUUCUAUUUAUUAAACCUUAUUUCAUUUAUAAUUCUACUUUUU